AGGAGUGCAAUGGCCAUCGGGUCUCAGCAUCCGUUCCUCGAGUCCUGGUGGGUAACAAGUGUGACCUUGUGGACCAAAUACAGGUGCCCUCCAACACAGCGUUGAAGUUCGCCGACUCCCACAACAUGUUGCUGUUCGAGACGUCGGCCAAGGACCCGAAGGAGAGUCAGAACGUCGACUCUAUCUUCAUGGCGCUGGCCUGCAGGCUCAAGGCUCAGAAAUCCCUGCUCUACAGAGACGUGGAGAGAGAGGAUGGGAGAGUCCGACUCACACAACAGACUGAAACAAAGAGUAAUUGUCCUUGUUGAGGAAAAAGAGGAGUGGGAGGCAUAAUGGAAGGGGAGGAUAGAAAGAGUAACUGUACAUGUGAAGGGAGAGGAGGAGAGGGAUGAUGGGGAGAGUGAGGCUAAAACAAGAGUCUUUCAAAUUAAGUGCAACUUUUCUGGUAUUGAAUGGAGGGUUGACUCUAAGAGAAAUGUGUUUCAAGGAAGAGGCGGACAGGUGGGAAGUGGCAACGCUCAUGUAUAUUAAGGAUGAGGAUGGUGAGGAUUGAUUAACAAUUCAGAAGACGAUGUUGCCUUUUAGACUACAGCAUAGUGUAGAUAUUCUUCCAUUUAUUCAAACAAAGACAGAAACUGAGUAAAUGUGCUUUCAGCUAGCAGAGUGCACAGGCAAACACAUCACAAGGGAUGAGUCAUUAGGGGAUCUACAACAAACGGUGUUGAUAUAAGGCUGUUGUUUCCUAAACCAGCCCUGGUUUGGUGUUUAUGACCGCCAUUACCAACACAGUCUUAUUUUUGCCUUACUCAUAUUGAUAUUUAUCCACAUCGUAGCUGAAAGCAGAAUGUCCCCGCUGUUUUUUACUGCCUUAAAAAGCUGCCUCUGUCAGAUUAAGAACUCAGUCAGGCAAAAGUAGCAUAGAGGAUUCACGUAUUUUAACCACUCUUAUGUAGAAAUAUCAACAAUUUCCGAACAUAAAUGAGAUGGUUUUUCCUCUCAGAAUGUUAGUGUAUCUAGGUAAAUCAUUCAAAGUUGACUUAAAAUCACUGUGAGAACACAAAUACAUGGCAAAAAUGGGAAAACACAAAGUUAAUGUGGAAAAAAUAUGGGGUGAGAAAAGUCCAAGUGAGCCCAAAGUACCGGAAGAUCUUGACAACAAGGUUUCCAGAUCAGCUAGAGGUUGUCAGGCAGCUUGUCACAUAUUGAUUUAUAGGCUGUAAGAUCCUUUUACCCGUAUGCAGGAGAAAUGCACUCUACUACAAAGAAUGGCCCUCAAGGCCAGGCUCUUUUUUUCUUCUAAUCCUGAUGUAAACAUAUUCCCGCUCUAUGCUAACCCUCUGGCACUGUGGCUUAUCAAGCUUUUACUUUGUGUGCAAAAUACACUCAGUCUUUGCCGUGUGUAACAUCAAGAUAGCCAGUCAGCAAUUCCAUAUUCUUUAAUGAACGACGUCUGUUUGACUAAAGGCCUUUCUGUCCGUUUUUGAUGGACCACAUCAAUAUCACUGCCUCCAGUCUCAGAGAGGACAGGGAACAUGAUAGAUCCCUGUAUACAUAGUGGAUUGACUUAUACUGCUACAGUUCCUGAACCUGGAUGUACGGUACGAGUGAACCUUUAAGCCUGUUGUCUGUAUAAGGGAUUAAGUCCUGGAGUAUCCGAGUCAUGGAUGAUACAGGCCACAUGAAACACUGCAGAAAGCCAUAUUUAUUAUUUAUUGUACAGUACUGUUUAGUAAAGCAACACACUUGUCAUAUCUAACCCUACUUUAACACUGUAGCCUACUUUUGCAAUCCUAUUGAUAUAUGUGGAUGCCAUAUGUUAACAAUUCAGAUCAGUGAGCAUUUCCGACAGGGUUUCCCUCCAAGCUGAUGAUCUAAUUAUUACAUCCGAUUGAGUUAUUUAAACACUGCACAUCGAGGUAAAAUCCUUCUUGGUAUUGUCUGAGCUGUAUCAGGUUUUUCUUUUUGCCUUUUUAUAAAACAGAUAAACAGGAAAGGGGGAGAGAGGAGGGACGACAUUGACUAAUCAAAGAGCCGUUGGUCAGAUUUAAUCCUGGGCAGCUAUUAAAGACUCAAAUUUAGUACAUGGCUCUAUUGGGGGAGCCACUCUUGUGCCCCAGCUGUAUCAGGUUGUCGAUUGUUUUUUUUGUCUGACAUUUUGCAGUUUCAAACAUGUUUGAUUGCCAUUAAAGAUGAAUAAAUUGACAUAACUGGAACAAACCAAA